rnacentral:rRNA from 1 species
UCAUCAUGCCCCUUAUGACCUGGGCUACACACGUGCUACAAUGGGCGGUACAACGAGUUGCGAGUCGGUGACGGCGAGCUAAUCUCUUAAAGCCAAUCUCAGUUCGGAUUGUAGGCUGCAACUCGCCUACAUGAAGUCGGAAUCGCUAGUAAUCGCGGAUCAGCACGCCGCGGUGAAUACGUUCCCGGGCCUU